rnacentral:rRNA from 1 species
GACGAACGCUGGCGGCGUGGAUUAGGCAUGCAAGUCGAACGGUAUCAUCCUUUCGGGGGUGAGAGAGUGGCGAACUGGUGAGUAACACGUAGGUUAUCUACCCUCAAGACGGGGGACAACCCAGGGAAACUUGGGCUAAUACCGGAUGUGAGCAACUUUUAGUUGUUUGAAAGGUGGCGUAAGCUGUCGCUUGGGGAUGAGCCUGCGUCCUAUUAGUUAGUUGGUGAGGUAACGGCUCACCUAGGCAAUGAUAGGUAGGCGGCCUUAACGGGUGGUCGCCCACACUGGGAUUGAGAUACGGGCCCAGACUCCUACGGGAGGCAGCAGUCGAGAAUAGUCUACAAUGGUCGGAAGACUGAUAGUGCGACGCCGCGUGAACGAUGAAUCCCUUCGGGGUGUAAAGUUCUUUUAUAUGUGAGCAGUGCUUCUUAUAUUAACAGUAUGGGGAAGAGAUAUUAGCAUAUGAAUAAGCAACGGCUAACUCCGUGCCCAGCAGCCGCGGUAAAA